ACAGCAGCAGCCGCGGGAAUACGAAGGGUGCAAGCGUUACUCGGAAUUACUGGGCGUAAAGCGUGCGCAGGCGGUUAUAUAAGACAGAUGUGAAAUCCACGGGCUCAACCUGGGAACUGCAUUUGUGACUGUAUAGCUAGAGUACGGCAGAGGGGGAUGGAAUUCCGCGUGUAGCAGUGAAAUGCGUAGAUAUGCGGAGGAACACCGAUGGCGAAGGCAAUCCCCUGGGCCUGUACUGACGCUCAUGCACGAAAGCGUGGGGAGCAAACAGGAUUAGAUACCCCCGUAGUCCCUGUCUCUUAUAC
rnacentral:rRNA from 1 species